rnacentral:rRNA from 1 species
UGGCUCAGAUUGAACGCUGGCGGCAGGCCUAACACAUGCAAGUCGAGCGGAAACGAUCCUAGCUUGCUAGGAGGCGUCGAGCGGCGGACGGGUGAGUAAUGCAUAGGAAUCUGCCCGGUAGUGGGGGAUAACUUGAGGAAACUCAAGCUAAUACCGCAUACGCCCUACGGGGGAAAGCAGGGGCUCUUCGGACCUUGCGCUAUCGGAUGAGCUUAUGUCGGAUUAGCUGGUUGGUGAGGUAACGGCUCACCAAGGCGACGAUCCGUAGCUGGUCUGAGAGGAUGAUCAGCCACAUCGGGACUGAGACACGGCCCGAACUCCUACGGGAGGCAGCAGUGGGGAAUAUUGGACAAUGGGGGCAACCCUGAUCCAGCCAUGCCGCGUGUGUGAAGAAGGCCCUCGGGUUGUAAAGCACUUUCAGCGAGGAAGAAUGCUUGUCGGUUAAUACCCGGCAAGGGAGACAUCACUCGCAGAAGAAGCACCGGCUAACUCCGUGCCAGCAGCCGCGGUAAUACGGAGGGUGCGAGCGUUAAUCGGAAUUACUGGGCGUAAAGCGUGCGUAGGCGGCUUGAUAAGCCGGUUGUGAAAGCCCCGGGCUCAACCUGGGAACGGCAUCCGGAACUGUUAGGCUAGAGUGCAGGAGAGGAAGGUAGAAUUCCCGGUGUAGCGGUGAAAUGCGUAGAGAUCGGGAGGAAUACCAGUGGCGAAGGCGGCCUUCUGGACUGACACUGACGCUGAGGUACGAAAGCGUGGGUAGCAAACAGGAUUAGAUACCCUGGUAGUCCACGCCGUAAACGAUGUCGACUAGCCGUUGGGGUCCUCGAGACCUUUGUGGCGCAGUUAACGCACUAAGUCGACCGCCUGGGGAGUACGGCC